UACGUAGGGCGCAAGCGUUGUCCGGAUUUAUUGGGCGUAAAGAGCUCGUAGGCGGUUUGUCGCGUCUUCCGUGAAAACUGGGGGCUUAACUUCCAGCUUGCGGUGGAUACGGGCUGACUGGAGUGCGGCAGGGGAGACUGGAAUUCCUGGUGUAGCGGUGAAAUGCGCAGAUAUCAGGAGGAACACCGGUGACGAAGGCGGCAUCCUGGACCAACACUGACGCUGAUGAGCGAAAGCCAGGGGAGCAAACGGG
rnacentral:rRNA from 1 species